GGGUUGUGAGGUUAAGCGACUAAGCGUACACGGUGGAUGCCCUGGCAGUCAGAGGCGAUGAAGGACGUGCUAAUCUGCGAUAAGCGUCGGUAAGGUGAUAUGAACCGUUAUAACCGGCGAUUUCCGAAUGGGGAAACCCAGUGUGAUUCGUCACACUAUCAUUAACUGAAUCCAUAGGUUAAUGAGGCGAACCGGGGGAACUGAAACAUCUAAGUACCCCGAGGAAAAGAAAUCAACCGAGAUUCCCCCAGUAGCGGCGAGCGAACGGGGAGCAGCCCAGAGCCUGAAUCAGUGUGUGUGUUAGUGGAAGCGUCUGGAAAGGCGUGCGAUACAGGGUGACAGCCCCGUACACAAAAAUGCACAUACUGUGAGCUCGAUGAGUAGGGCGGGACACGUGGUAUCCUGUCUGAAUAUGGGGGGACCAUCCUCCAAGGCUAAAUACUCCUGACUGACCGAUAGUGAACCAGUACCGUGAGGGAAAGGCGAAAAGAACCCCGGCGAGGGGAGUGAAAAAGAACCUGAAACCGUGUACGUACAAGCAGUGGGAGCACGCUUAGGCGUGUGACUGCGUACCUUUUGUAUAAUGGGUCAGCGACUUAUAUUCUGUAGCAAGGUUAACCGAAUAGGGGAGCCGAAGGGAAACCGAGUCUUAACUGGGCGUUAAGUUGCAGGGUAUAGACCCGAAACCCGGUGAUCUAGCCAUGGGCAGGUUGAAGGUUGGGUAACACUAACUGGAGGACCGAACCGACUAAUGUUGAAAAAUUAGCGGAUGACUUGUGGCUGGGGGUGAAAGGCCAAUCAAACCGGGAGAUAGCUGGUUCUCCCCGAAAGCUAUUUAGGUAGCGCCUCGUGAAUUCAUCUCCGGGGGUAGAGCACUGUUUCGGCAAGGGGGUCAUCCCGACUUACCAACCCGAUGCAAACUGCGAAUACCGGAGAAUGUUAUCACGGGAGACACACGGCGGGUGCUAACGUCCGUCGUGAAGAGGGAAACAACCCAGACCGCCAGCUAAGGUCCCAAAGUCAUGGUUAAGUGGGAAACGAUGUGGGAAGGCCCAGACAGCCAGGAUGUUGGCUUAGAAGCAGCCAUCAUUUAAAGAAAGCGUAAUAGCUCACUGGUCGAGUCGGCCUGCGCGGAAGAUGUAACGGGGCUAAACCAUGCACCGAAGCUGCGGCAGCGACGCUUAUGCGUUGUUGGGUAGGGGAGCGUUCUGUAAGCCUGUGAAGGUGUGCUGUGAGGUAUGCUGGAGGUAUCAGAAGUGCGAAUGCUGACAUAAGUAACGAUAAAGCGGGUGAAAAGCCCGCUCGCCGGAAGACCAAGGGUUCCUGUCCAACGUUAAUCGGGGCAGGGUGAGUCGACCCCUAAGGCGAGGCCGAAAGGCGUAGUCGAUGGGAAACAGGUUAAUAUUCCUGUACUUGGUGUUACUGCGAAGGGGGGACGGAGAAGGCUAUGUUGGCCGGGCGACGGUUGUCCCGGUUUAAGCGUGUAGGCUGGUUUUCCAGGCAAAUCCGGAAAAUCAAGGCCGAGGCGUGAUGACGAGGCACUACGGUGCUGAAGCAACAAAUGCCCUGCUUCCAGGAAAAGCCUCUAAGCAUCAGGUAACAUCAAAUCGUACCCCAAACCGACACAGGUGGUCAGGUAGAGAAUACCAAGGCGCUUGAGAGAACUCGGGUGAAGGAACUAGGCAAAAUGGUGCCGUAACUUCGGGAGAAGGCACGCUGAUACGUAGGUGAAGCGACUUGCUCGUGGAGCUGAAAUCAGUCGAAGAUACCAGCUGGCUGCAACUGUUUAUUAAAAACACAGCACUGUGCAAACACGAAAGUGGACGUAUACGGUGUGACGCCUGCCCGGUGCCGGAAGGUUAAUUGAUGGGGUUAGCGCAAGCGAAGCUCUUGAUCGAAGCCCCGGUAAACGGCGGCCGUAACUAUAACGGUCCUAAGGUAGCGAAAUUCCUUGUCGGGUAAGUUCCGACCUGCACGAAUGGCGUAAUGAUGGCCAGGCUGUCUCCACCCGAGACUCAGUGAAAUUGAACUCGCUGUGAAGAUGCAGUGUACCCGCGGCAAGACGGAAAGACCCCGUGAACCUUUACUAUAGCUUGACACUGAACAUUGAGCCUUGAUGUGUAGGAUAGGUGGGAGGCUUUGAAGUGUGGACGCCAGUCUGCAUGGAGCCGACCUUGAAAUACCACCCUUUAAUGUUUGAUGUUCUAACGUGGACCCGUGAUCCGGGUUGCGGACAGUGUCUGGUGGGUAGUUUGACUGGGGCGGUCUCCUCCUAAAGAGUAACGGAGGAGCACGAAGGUUGGCUAAUCCUGGUCGGACAUCAGGAGGUUAGUGCAAUGGCAUAAGCCAGCUUGACUGCGAGCGUGACGGCGCGAGCAGGUGCGAAAGCAGGUCAUAGUGAUCCGGUGGUUCUGAAUGGAAGGGCCAUCGCUCAACGGAUAAAAGGUACUCCGGGGAUAACAGGCUGAUACCGCCCAAGAGUUCAUAUCGACGGCGGUGUUUGGCACCUCGAUGUCGGCUCAUCACAUCCUGGGGCUGAAGUAGGUCCCAAGGGUAUGGCUGUUCGCCAUUUAAAGUGGUACGCGAGCUGGGUUUAGAACGUCGUGAGACAGUUCGGUCCCUAUCUGCCGUGGGCGCUGGAGAACUGAGGGGGGCUGCUCCUAGUACGAGAGGACCGGAGUGGACGCAUCACUGGUGUUCGGGUUGUCAUGCCAAUGGCACUGCCCGGUAGCUAAAUGCGGAAGAGAUAAGUGCUGAAAGCAUCUAAGCACGAAACU
rnacentral:rRNA from 1 species